CGUCCUCUGCCGUGUUCGACGGCGUGCAAAACAUUCGCCUUGUCCCUUAAAAACGACACCGGGAAUGCGACGACGCCAGGCGUGCAAGUCCGCCCCGUUGCGGAAAGCCCGAAGGCCUCCCAGCGUUCCCACUUGAACCCCGGGUUCAAGGUCGUUUCGCAUGCAUCGGCAUGGCGGAGGAUGC
rnacentral:other from 1 species